UAAAAGGGGUGGAGCCAGGAUCCACCCCUUCCCAGACCUCAUUUAAGAGUUGGCAGGGGGAGAGGUGAGGGUAUUUUGCUGAAGAUCCUUGCUUACUGGAGGCUGUCUGAAGCUUGAACUUACAGGAGAUCUUGUGCUCAGCAUGAUCAUCUUGAUGGAAGCUGGUCGGUGAGACCGUUGCUGACUGUGUCAGGCAGUUAACGUGGAGUCAUUAGAAGAUAGCAGUGGCAAAUGGGCAUCUACGUCUGGAUAAAAGACACUGUGCUAGAUGGAUCGUUGGUCUGAAACAUCGUAGCUAUUAUCUCUGGAAAGCCAGGCUCAAGGAAUUGUUUCUUAAUUCCCUGCAGUUGUUUCUCAUUACUUACAAAUUAUACCAGAAGUGCAUGUUACAACUGAGGGACAAAACAACUGCUCUUGCUGAUGUUCUCAAAAAUCUCAUGCUGAAGCAAGGUAACAAGAAAUGCAAAGAGCACUAGAGCAGUAGAGGUGGAAUGUGGCUUAGGGUAGACUUACAUCUGAGGAAUGCCAUGAAAGGAUCUGUGCUCAUUCUUCUCCACACAGAACCACUUUCUUUAAUUGUUGUACACAGUUUGUGUUGCUUGUUAUGAGCUGACACAAGAUGGAAAAUAUUUACUUUGAAUAGUUGAUGACAGAGCUUUAUAGUUUGAUGUCACCUGAUUUAUUGCGAAAUAACUAUUCUAUGAUGCAAACUUGGUUUGGAAAUCUUGUAAAAACAUGAAUUACUUAUACCUUUACAGGCUUUAUUUAAUUCAUCUUGUUAUUACUCCCUUUUACAUGGCAUUGUCAUUUUGUAAAUUAUCAAAAGGUGAUUUUAAAUUUGUGUUAAUGGCAUUUGUUAAUAGUGUCCACCUGGAAAUGUAUAUUUUGGUAUGUCAUACAAUGUAUUGGUACUGCACCCUUUAGUCACUUACAACUCAGCUGUUACUGAGGAUGGUUUCUGUUGCAAGAUAGGGAGCUCUUCCGCACCUAAGUCACUGAAUUGCAGUUCUAUCCAUUCAUCACAUUUUUAUUUUGUCUUCUGUUCUGGAAAUUCUUCCCAGCUCCUGCUAUGAAUGCAAAUGUGUGGCUGGUAACAGACUCAUUCCAGGCAUGCUGUUCAUCAUGUGAGAUGUGAACUAAAUAAAUGUAGUUCAUGUGAUAUGUGUGCUGUUCCAUGUGGCACAUGAUCGUAUGGUCUCGUACCUGAAACCAAAAACUGUUAAAGAUUAGCGCUGCUCUGAAAAUAAUGCCUCCUAUUUUACUCUGGCUCAUGAUGUCAGCCCCCAAGAAACCAACUAACUCCCUAAACAAAAAUAAACAUGUAAGCUGAAUGAGUAACAUAAAAGGGGCAUGCACAUCAGGCUGAAGAAGGAGAGCACUGCAGGCAUUUCCUUCUGUGAAGAAAGUUUCCUUGGUCCUGGAGGUUCCUUUAGAUGAGUCUGUUUCCACAUGUUGCAUCUCGGUGCUGUCACAGUGAGAUUCAGCAUUCAGAAUAGAACAGAGUAUCUGAGCUAAAAAGGAGUGGAAAUUCAUUUUUAAAAUUUUUGCACCUGCUCAGUUGAUUUUAAUAGGGAAGUAAAUUGACUACUUUCCAUCUCAGUUAAUCUGUGGAUUUGAUGCUUGGGUGAGGCUCUCCAGACUGAUUAGCAGGUUUAGUAAAUGAUACAGGGAAUAGUAACCACAUUCCGCAUGUGUUAGUGUCACAGUGCCAAGACUUCAUUUUCAGCCUCAUGAGUCUGCUGCACCUGAAGCGCUUAGAAUCAUGGUAGAGUUGCUUUUAAGAUGUGUCAUUUGUCUUUUAAAAUGGAAAUGACUACAUAGAUUGUCCUGAGUGUUGACUAUUUCUCCCAAUGUGAUGUUCACAUAAUGUAAAACACUGAAUUCCUCUUUUGUUUUUUUCUUCUUCUUUUUUAAUAUCUUCCCACUCCAUGGUUCUUAAAUGCAUUCUGAAAGACCUGUAAGGUUUCCAACAAUGUCUGUUCUUCUGAGAUUGUUUUUUUUUUUUCCAGCUCAACAAGACUAGGAUAACCUCCUCAAAGUAAACUUUGUCCAAAAACUCUGUGCAACUUCUCACUCUUCUGUUUAGAUUGCAUAUCAGCAUUUGUGGCUCAAAACAUUGGUUCAGUCAUCACAAUUGGAUUUUGUUCAGAAAAGUUGUCUGCUCUGAUUUUAAACUUCAUAAAACCUAUCUGGUAUUAUUUAUCGUUGAAUGAUGAGUUUUUAAAGAAAAGGUAGUGCUAACUGAAAAAUGUCAGGAUUCUUUAUUAUACAUACUGCUUUUGGAGUGAGGCAUUUAUAUGGACAAGCUAAUGGCUAGUUUAUUAGAACUCCACCUAAUUUUCUGCUUUUGCCUACAGCUGUAUUGUAACUACCUUUGAUCAUAAGGACUUGAUUGUUUAAAAUAAAUUCCAAGGAUUAUAGGAAAUGACUUUUUUCAGAUUUUGAUAUGAAGCUAGGCCACCUGUUUUUUUGGCAGUUGUGGUCUUUUCUAACUUUAUUCUUAGUUGUAAUGUUCCCCAAAACACUUGAGAAUAGAAUACAAAGGAGGCAUUACUUCUGGAGC